UGCUAGGGGAGCUGGCGCACGUCGGCUGAGAGGGCAUCCAUUGCGGUGCCGACCCUUACACCUGAUCUGGGUAAUGCCAGCGUAGGGAUGGGCGAU
rnacentral:ncRNA from 1 species